rfam:Fusibacter sp. 3D3 DNA, contig: 33.
UUAAGCCGUAUGACGUGAAAGUGUCAUCUACGGUUCAUGGAGGGAAGAGGGUGUAAAUCCUCUGACUUACCCGAC